GGAGAAAACAAAAGGCUGGUGGCAGUAAGAAAAUUAUCUGUUCCAACAUCUUGACAGUUGAUACAAUCAAUAUCCAAAAUGCCAUCAAGUUCUAGUUUACUACAUAGUUAACAGCUAGUAUUUAAAACCUCUGCAUCACAAACUUCAACCUGUUGAUAUUCACAGAAAUUUGGACAAAUCUUUCUACAGAUCACAAAACAACAAAAUUUCAAUGCCGUACUUUUAGUUCCUUCUAACAAAUAACAUCAACCCAAAUCUGAUCCAUAAGCUUGAUUACGAUUCCACUCAGACUACUAUCAAUUAGUAUAUACUAACACCAUAAAUCUUGACAAGGCCGCAAUCCUACAGAUGACAAUAUAUUUUUAACAUAACAAAUAGUUAGACAAAAUAUAAGAGAAAAAUAAGGAUGUAAUCUUUAAGAAUGAGGAGUCUAGGACAAUAUAUUUACUAUACAGUACUAAUACACAACACACCAUAUAUAUUCACAACAAUAAAAUAUACAUGCUAUUCCAAAUUCACCAACAGUUCUUAGUCCACACAUUUGUCCUUCACAGAAAAAUACCGAGUACUCUGCUUUACAACAGACUAGUACAUGGACAUCAAAACCACAAUGAGUCCAUAAUAUAGUCGGCUUCAAGUGGGAUUUAUAGAUCAAACAAAAAUCAGAAAGGUAGUAUAAAGCAAGGUUAGUGGCAAAGGGAUAUCAUCAGCAUUAUGGUACUGACUACAAAGAAACUUACAGUCCAGUGGUUUGUUUUUAAUCUUGCAGUGACAUAGAACUGGGUCAUUAAACAGCUUGAUGUGGCAUUUCUUCAUGGUACAAUUAAUGAAGAUGUCUACAUGUCCCAGCCACCAGGUUUUAUGAAUCCAUACUACCCUGAUUUCGUUUGUAAACUCAAUAAAUUUCUUUAUGGUCUUCAUCAAGCACCUCAGGCGUGGUAUGAUGUUCUUGCUCACUCUAUCCUAGAAGUCGGUUAUCAGUUUUCUAAAGCUGAUAACUCCUUAUUCAUUCAAAAAGAUGGUCAUAUUAUCACAUAUGUUCUAGUUUAUGUCGACGGCAUUUUCAUCACUACUAAAUACUAAUAAUCCAUCACAUUGUCAAAUUAUCAUUUCUGAACUAAGCAAGUCUUUGGCAAUGAAAGAGUUUGAUCCUAUACACUAUUUACUUGGUCUAGAAGCUGUCUGCGCUUCAUUUUAUUUCUUUCUCAAACCAAAAUACAAUACACUCUUGAUCUCUUAAAGAGAUUCAACAUGGAUGGCGCCAAACCCAGGGCCCCUCAUUUACAACUGGUAAGGGUCAAUGCCACAACAAACUAAGGAGAAAAAGACCGGAAAUACUGAAAAAGCAGUGAAAUUGAGAAACCCAUGUCCAUUAAAAUAGACUACCGUACAAUAUACAUAAAAAUUAUUAUGACAAGAAGCGUAACCUUUAGGCAUGAUGAUUGGGCAUAAAACUGCAUCUGACAGCCACAACUUCGCCAUUGACUGCUUUCAGGUGGUCAUAAACCACAUGUACAGCUGAAAAAGAAUGGAAAAUUUAUUAAACGCAUAUAUUAAUAACAAAAUGAAAACACAAUAAAAUCAAUUUUUACCUAAUAUUUUAAAUCUCCGAAAGUGGUGCCUUAUGACAACACCAUUUGAAAGAAUCAAAGUCCCUGCCCAAGAAAAACCAUAAAAUACAUACUCAGGUAAAAAGGGGGAAGUACCAAUUACUUUAUAAUACACAGACAUUUCCAACAAUUUUUGCUAUGGACAUUAGAUCGUUGACAAAGGGCAAAAUAAAAAAAUUGGCAGAUAAUAUCGUAUCAAAAAUGUAUAUUUUGUUGAUAAUACAGAAAAGAGGAAACACAUAUAAUCAUAUCCAUUGUUGAUAAGCAAUAUGUAAGAAACACUAAGAAACAUAUAUAUAUAGUAAUACUACUAGGGAUGAGAGAUUACCAAUGUCUCUUUGUUCUCCAAGACUAUAUAUUCCGCAAAAAGCAUUGGCAAAAUCACCUAGUAUCCAUGACCUAUUAUUUGGUAGAAUUUCCCAUUCAAUGGUCCAAUCCAAAUAAGCAUCAUAAUCAUUACUUAAAAAAAAGUCUGCUUGGUGUACUUCCAACUCCACUUGCCUCCCUUCCACACAUAGCUUCUCAACAGUUUUAUUUACAAAACAAGAAUUACAACCACACAAACGCCUGCAAGAUAUCCAUAUCCAACUCCGAAUGUUGUCUACAUGGAAAUAGUCGUUAUUCUGUUGGAAAGAAUCAUUUCUUGCAACCACUAAACAAUCAUUCCGACCAACCCAAAAUCCAUUGAUGAUCUCAUACUCGAAAACAUGAUAAACAUCAUCAACAUCAACCUUAAAUAAUUUAGUUUUCCCAAAAAUUGAUUUAUACAAAUUUCUCCAUGGAUGUUGAUGUUGGUCAUUAUCUGGAUUAUUUGGUUCAUAAUCACUCGGAACAAUACCAUUGUUUAAAUUUAAUACUAAUGUCCUCCAAACAUAAGCUGACCUUGCAAUUGUGGCAUGAUAUUGGCUACAAAGGGCAACAUUAGCCACUGACUGAGCAUCCAAAAAACACAUGAUAUAUUUCCAAACCAAAUUUAUCCUACAGAAAAGAAAAUCCACAAGAAACAAUUAGUUAUUUCAUUUGGGUGUUUGUGUGUGUUUCAUUCUUGAUAAAAGAGAAAGAAAUGUACAUUUUGUUUUGUUGUGUUGUGUUGUGUUGUGUUAUUAGAACAAGGUUUAUAGAGAAACUACUUACUCAUCAAGAGGUUCACUAUGACGAAGACGGGUAUCUUGUUGAAACUCCAUUUGCGAAACCCUAGCUUUUCGAUCGAUUUCUCUCUUCUUCUUCUUCUUCUUCUUCUUGUGUUCUUCUUUCUUCCUUUUUCUUUCUUGAUUUUUUAGCUUUCUUUCCUACUACUACUACUACUACUACUACUCAAAACACACAAAGUUGCUUUCUUCUUUCUUGAUUGUUCGUGUCGUUUCGGAUUUUAAAGACUAGACCGAAAACCGGUUUGGGUAGACAGGGGCA
rnacentral:lncRNA from 1 species